rnacentral:rRNA from 1 species
ACUCCUACGGGAGGCAGCAGUCGAGAAUCAUUCGCAAUGGGCGAAAGCCUGACGAUGCGACGCCGUGUGAGCGAAGAAGGCCUUAGGGUCGUAAAGCUCUUUCGCAGGGGAACAAGAAAAGUCGACUAAUAAUCGGCAGAUUUGAGCGUACCUUGUAAAGAAGCACCGGCUAACUCCGUGCCAGCAGCUGCGGUAAUACGGAGGGUGCAAGCAUUAAUCGGAUUUAUUGGGCGUAAAGGGCGCGUAGGCGGGAAUAUAAGUCAGACGUGAAAUCCCGAGGCUCAACCUCGGAACUGCAUUUGAAACUAUAUUUCUUGAGGGUAGGAGGAGAAAACGGAAUUCCACAAGUAGCGGUGAAAUGCGUAGAUAUGUGGAAGAACACCGGUGGCGAAGGCGGUUUUCUAUCUUACUCCUGACGCUGAUGCGCGAAAGCAAGGGGAUCAAACAGGAUUAGAUACCCUGGUAGUCCUUGCCGUAAACUAUGUAUACUUGGUGUAAUUGGACUCAACCCCGAUUGUGCCGGAGCUAACGCGUUAAGUAUACCGCCUGAGGAGUACAGUCGCAAAGGCUGAAACUCAAAAGAAUUGACGGGG